UCGAACGAUGAACUCCAGCUUGCUGGGGGGAUUAGUGGCGAACGGGUGAGUAACACGUGAGUAACCUGCCCUUAACUCUGGGAUAAGCCUGGGAAACUGGGUCUAAUACCGGAUAUUUACUUCUCGCCGCAUGGUGGGUGGUGGAAAGCUUUUGCGGUUUUGGAUGGACUCGCGGCCUAUCAGCUUGUUGGUGAGGUAAUGGCUCACCAAGGCGACGACGGGUAGCCGGCCUGAGAGGGUGACCGGCCACACUGGGACUGAGACACGGCCCAGACUCCUACGGGAGGCAGCAGUGGGGAAUAUUGCACAAUGGGCGAAAGCCUGAUGCAGCGACGCCGCGUGAGGGAUGACGGCCUUCGGGUUGUAAACCUCUUUCAGUAGGGAAGAAGCGAAAGUGACGGUACCUGCAGAAGAAGCGCCGGCUAACUACGUGCCAGCAGCCGCGGUAAUACGUAGGGCGCAAGCGUUAUCCGGAAUUAUUGGGCGUAAAGAGCUCGUAGGCGGUUUGUCGCGUCUGCCGUGAAAGUCCGGGGCUCAACUCCGGAUCUGCGGUGGGUACGGGCAGACUAGAGUGAUGUAGGGGAGACUGGAAUUCCUGGUGUAGCGGUGAAAUGCGCAGAUAUCAGGAGGAACACCGAUGGCGAAGGCAGGUCUCUGGGCAUUAACUGACGCUGAGGAGCGAAAGCAUGGGGAGCGAACAGGAUUAGAUACCCUGGUAGUCCAUGCCGUAAACGUUGGGCACUAGGUGUGGGGGACAUUCCACGUUUUCCGCGCCGUAGCUAACGCAUUAAGUGCCCCGCCUGGGGAGUACGGCCGCAAGGCUAAAACUCAAAGGAAUUGACGGGGGCCCGCACAAGCGGCGGAGCAUGCGGAUUAAUUCGAUGCAACGCGAAGAACCUUACCAAGGCUUGACAUAAACCGGAAACACUUGGAAACAAGUGCCCCACUUGUGGUCGGUUUACAGGUGGUGCAUGGUUGUCGUCAGCUCGUGUCGUGAGAU
rnacentral:rRNA from 1 species